rnacentral:lncRNA from 1 species
GAGGACCCGUCCCCACCAUCGACAUACUCAAUGGCUGGACGAAACACCUCCUAGAGGUCAUCUUUCUCUUUCUUCACAACUUUCGUUUAUGAACCUUAUCUUUCACUAGCUUUGAGAGCAUUUUCUAGUUUCGUCUUCUCCCAGUCAAAAUUAUCCACUUUUUCUGCAAGAGAGUCCCCCUUGGCUGUUAAGUUAGUGACUGGCUCAUUCUUCGUAACAAGUUCGUCAUCAAGCUGCCCGUAUCUCGUAGUUAUUCUUCUGUCGUUGAAGAUUAUUUUGAAUCCACAUCUCCUCCACCUCCUAAGUAGCUUUUUUUUUCAUCAAAGCUUCCCCACCUCCGCCAAGUAAUUUUAC